rnacentral:rRNA from 1 species
UACGAAGGGGGCUAGCGUUGUUCGGAUUUACUGGGCGUAAAGCGCACGUAGGCGGAUCGUUAAGUCGGGGGUGAAAUCCUGGAGCUCAACUCCAGAACUGCCUUCGAUACUGGCGAUCUUGAGUCCGGAAGAGGUGAGUGGAACUCCUAGUGUAGAGGUGGAAUUCGUAGAUAUUAGGAAGAACACCAGUGGCGAAGGCGGCUCUCUGGAACGGUACUGACGCUGAGACGCGAAAGCGUGGGGAAGCGAACGAGG